AGGUGGUUUUGUCAGAGUCUAUACAGAUGUUUAAACUGCAACUGGAUAAAUACUUGCAAAAACAUAACAUACAGUGAUAUAAUUUCUAAUUAGUGGGGUAAUAGCUGCUUGAUCCAAGGAGACAUCUGACUGCUAUUUUGGGGUCAAGAAGGAAUUCUUUCCUAGUUUGUUGCAAAAUUGGAAGCGCUUCAGACUAGGUUUUUUGCCUUCUUUUGGAUCAACAGCAAAAACAUAUGUGAGGAAGGCUGAACUUGAUGGACGUAAGUCUCUUUUCAG